CCGGGAGAGAUGCUGCAAGAAACUUCUUAAAUGACUGCGUCCGGCCGGCUGUGGAGCGUUUCUGGGUUGGGGAGAGGAAAGGAAAGUGGAAAAAAACUGAGAACUUCCUGAUCUCUCUCGCUGUGAGACAUGUCUGAGACUCCUGCUCAGUGUAGCAUUAAGCAGGAACGGAUUUCAUAUACACCCCCCGAGAGCCCGGUGCCCAGUUACACUUCCUCGACGCCGCUUCAUGUGCCAGUGCCCCGAGCGCUCAGGAUGGAGGAAGACUCGAUCCGCCUGCCCGCGCACCUGCGCUUGCAGCCAAUGUACUGGAGCAGAGAUGACGUAGCCCAGUGGCUCAAGUGGGCUGAAAAUGAGUUUUCUCUAAGGCCGAUUGACAGCAGCACGUUUGAGAUGAAUGGCAAAGCUCUCCUGCUCCUGACCAAAGAGGACUUUCGCUACCGGUCUCCUCAUUCAGGUGAUGUGCUCUAUGAACUCCUUCAGCAUAUUCUGAAGCAGAGGAAACCUCGGAUUCUUUUCUCACCGUUCUUCCACCCCGGAAACUCGAUACACACGCAGCCGGAAGUCAUCCUGCAUCAGAACCACGAAGAAGAUAACUGUGUCCAGAGGACCCCGAGGCCGUCGGUGGAGAACGUACACCACAACCCUCCCACCAUUGAACUGUUGCACCGUUCCAGGUCACCCAUCACGACAAACCACCGGCCUUCUCCCGACCCCGAGCAGCGGCCCCUCCGGUCCCCCCUGGACAACAUGAUCCGCCGCCUCUCCCCGGCCGAGAGGGCCCAGGGACCGAGGCUCCACCAGGAGAACAACCACCAGGAGUCCUACCCCCUGUCAGUGUCUCCCAUGGAGAAUAAUCACUGCCCACCGUCCUCCGAGCCCCACCAGAAGCCCUCCAGCCCCCGGCAGGAGAGCACGCGGGUGAUCCAGCUGAUGCCCAGUCCCAUCAUGCACCCUCUGAUCCUGAACCCCCGGCACUCCGUGGAUUUCAAGCAGUCCCGGCUCUCCGAGGACGGGCUGCACCGGGAAGGGAAACCCAUCAACCUCUCCCAUCGGGAAGACCUGGCAUACAUGAACCACAUCAUGGUCUCCGUCUCCCCGCCCGAGGAGCACGCCAUGCCCAUCGGGAGGAUAGCAGACUGUAGACUGCUUUGGGAUUACGUCUAUCAGUUGCUUUCUGACAGCCGGUACGAAAACUUCAUCCGAUGGGAGGACAAAGAAUCGAAAAUAUUCCGGAUAGUGGAUCCCAAUGGACUGGCUCGACUGUGGGGAAACCAUAAGAACAGAACAAACAUGACCUAUGAGAAAAUGUCCAGAGCCCUGCGCCACUACUACAAACUAAACAUUAUCAGGAAGGAGCCAGGACAAAGGCUUUUGUUCAGGUUUAUGAAAACCCCGGAUGAAAUCAUGAGUGGCCGAACAGACCGUCUGGAGCAUCUUGAGUCCCAGGAGCUGGAUGAACAAAUAUACCAAGAAGAUGAGUGUUGAAGGAACCAGCCCCCGGCUCAGCGGGCCGAUAGCCAAGGGCACCCUGCCCGCCAGGAUGGCUGGGGCGUGACGGAGCGGAAGGGAAGAGACCCGGACAUGGCAGUGACACUUCUCUCGCCCAGCGUGAGGGACCCCGGAGCACCUUAGACAAACCACUCAGCAAAGGCGGCGCUGGAAUUCUGGCCAAGGGCACCAGCCUGGGACUCACGUUCACGGUUCCUUCUCAUUUGGAAUCUCUUUCUGUAAUUCCUCCCCCACCCCGUUCCACCUAUUGUUAAGUUUCAUGGUGUUUUUGGUUUUGUUCUUUUUUAAGACCAUGCAGUUUGACUUUUCAUCAUUCAUAUAGGGGAAGACAUCGAGGUUGUUUUCCUAUGGAAAUAUAUAUCUAUUAUAUAUAUAUAUAUUUUUUGCAAAUCUCACAAAGUGCAGAAGCGCAACUGGUCAGGAGAGAGAACACUUACAAAAGGGUUCAGGUUCUCUUGACCCUGCCACAUGGAUCAGGUUUGUGCCUGUUGCUGUUGGGUCUUGGCUGGAAAAAAAAAGAAAAAAAAGAAAGAAAAAAAAAAUAAGAUGCUUUUAAAAACGAUAAAUUGAAAAGGAGAGCUCUCUUCUUCUCUCUCUGGCUCUCUUUCCUUCCCUGCCCCGUCCCGUCCUCCCUCCUUGCCUGUUGUUGAAUUUCAGAUGCCUUUCAGCAGGGUUCAGCCUCUUUGGAGAGUCUUGGGAAUUGUUGGCACCUAAACGGGAUCAGUGGUCUGGGUGCUUUGUAGCCGGCGCCACAAAAAGCAAACCCACAUCCCAGCAUUCGGCUACCUAUCGGAGGGAGGCCAGGGACAUCACGGAGGCUGCUGCCUUCCGGGAAGAUGAUGCUAGUCCGGCAGGCUUCCCCUGACACAGCUGUGAGAACCGCGGGGCCUGGUGGUUCCACAGAGCGUAAGAUGAGCCUGGAAGGCUGUCCAGGUUAUUUGGAAGCCCCAGCAUCUUGGGAUUAGUUUGCAAGUGCUGUGAAGUGGGGGGAAAAAAAUGAAAAAAAAAACCACACAGGCCUGAUGGUCCAGGUGACAGACCUUCUGCAGUGGGGUGUGAAUUAUUCCAAAGUAGGUUAUGGAGGGUCACCUCUGCUCCAUCCCAAAGGCCAUCGUGCAGUCAGUUUCAUAUCCUCACCUAAAUUUUUUUCAAUUCCCAGCCUUUUUUUUUUUUUUUUUUAAAGUUUCCUGAUCCCCACAGGACACAGGGCAUUUGAGGGGGAGGACCCUGGAGUGUGUCGUCUCAGUUGUUACUGGUGUUUGCCACGCCUGGGCAGACGGGAAAUUCCUCAGAUACCUUCCUUUUACCCUCUUCUUUCCUAGCUGUGUUUCAGAAUGGACCCAUGUGUGGCUCUCUUUCACCUCAAAAUAAGCAGUGUGUUUGGAACCCCCUGCUCCAUCAUCUUCUUACACUGAUACCUUGGUCCAAGUGAGAAUGUAGGUUUAGCAGAAACUUAAAUGGCUUUGACGGGAUGUACCUAAAUGCCUAAGUAACCACACCUCCUCCGCCAUUCACUGCCUAGGAUCCAACUCUGAAUACAUGUCUGAAACAUUAGCUCCCCUUUUGAAGAAGGGAAAUCUGAGUAUCAGAGAGGUCCUGUGACUUGUCCUAGGAGCAGACGGCAUGCCAGGGACAGAAUGAGGAUUGGGACCCAGCCUGGCCAUACCCCGAUCUGACCCAUUCCCACCCAGGAAGCUGAAGAUAAAAAUUGGGGGAAAUACACAAAGAACAAAAGGCAGUUUCUUUGCCCAAGCAUUCGGUGCUAGUUAGUUUUCACCCACUCAACCUGUUUCUCUUCUGAACAGUAAUGGAGGGAGUGAUCCAAGGAGCCGGGGGUGGGGUGGGAAGGGGGGUGACAGUGGUCCCUGCCUGCCUAAAAACCACAGAAGACUAACCUGAUACCCUUGGGGCCCCAUCUGCAUCAACACUAAACAACGACAAACUCCCCGAAUCUUUCAUACAUGCCAAGUGAACAUUCUUGAAGAUAUUUCUCUGUGACUGCAACCACCUGCAAACGAGGACGAAUCUAGAAUUUUUUUUUUUAAUUUCUAAUCUCUUGUUGUUUAUGAGGUGUGGGGUUUAUAAGGGACUGAAUCAAAUGAAUGUAACAAAAAAGAAAAACAAAAAAAAAAAGCCUUUUCUCAGGGCCAGUGAAUUGCAAAUAAUUUUUAAAGAAAAGCCUAUAAUUGCAUCAUCUCAAUAAAUUUU